AGACCAAAUGCUAUUGCAGAAGGCUCAAGAAUGAGGCGAACAGACUAGCCAGUGCUCCAGGAUGUCUGUGGCUCUUUAUGAGUGAAGAGAAAGGGUAGAGACUGAAGACAGAGCCGGGGACAGUGACAGGCUUGGGGAAGAACAGCUGAUUCAGCAGUCCCAAGCAUCUGAACACAAGGUGGACAUUCUCCAGGGUGACAUGGCAAAAUACACGGGUGAAGACAACCUAGUGGCCGUGACUUGGAGCACCCUUCCUCACAAUGAAGGCAUUCUGGUCCCGCCUGAAAAAUAGCAUGGAAAUAAAUCACCUAAGUACAAGGGACCUCGGUGACAACGCUGUGAACAUCUAUGAAUUCCACAUUCAAGUACUUUGUCACAACUGUCUCCACAAGUUGGUACAUCUUCUGUACAAGGCAAAGAAAAUCCUAAAAACAGACAAAAAGUCAAUGUUAAUAAUAAGAUACAUUAUUAUUAAACAUCAACAA